AACAGAACAUAUGAAAAUGUGAAAGCAGGUCAUUUGAUUGGUAAAUCUGGUGCAACGCUACCAGUGUUAUACACCAUGCAUUUACACCAUGCUGCUGUGUGACCAAGUGAGGGGCAUCACAAGGAAGGGGAAGAUAUUUAGAUCAUUCAUGGAGCCUUCAACAUCAUAUUAAAACCAAAUUAUAAAGAGAACUCAAGAAGCCAGAGUUUUACAUUUAGUCAUGACCAGUCAUGACAUUCAGCAAAUGAAUGAGUAUCUGAUGAAAAUUAGUGAGAGUUUUCAGAGAAUGGGAGAUACCGUCGGGACACCUUCACUAAGCCUGCUAUAUUAUACUACAACAAUAUAAUGACAAACAUUGCUGUUAUUCUACCAAAGAACAUCAAAGAAAUAGUGAAGUCUUACAGUACCUGAAGAAAAUCCUAGUCUUGCCUAUAGUAUUAUACCUGAAGGAAGUUUUGACCACUUAUCCUAAAGUUAUUCAUGCAUAAUAACAUGGGUCCACUAUGCACUACCAUGAAUAUGCUUCAAAUAAUUUUAAAAAAAGAAAUUUAAUAAUGUACAUUCUUAAAUAAAAGAUAAAAAGUGUAUAAACAGUGGUCUCAUUGCAUGUAAAAUGAUAAUUCCAUCCUUUGUUACAAUUAUUGAAUUUUUAUUAAAUUGACAAAAGAAUUAAAGAAAUCUAUGUCAAAAAUGUCUAUUAUUAUUUUCAAGGCUUAAGGAUAACGUUCUUGGGUAUAUCAUAGAAAAUAUAUAAUUAUUUUUCACAAUAUGACCAACAUUUGCCCCCCCCCCCCCUAAUAUUUUGCCAAUAUAUAGAAUUCUAUAAUAAACAUAGCUACUCUAUACUUGUGCCCCCUCAGAAAAUAUGUCUAAUGAUCUUUUGUCCUUAUUUUGCUUU